rnacentral:rRNA from 1 species
GUGAAAUUGUUGAAAGGGAAGCGCUUGCAACCAGACUUGCACGUAGUUAAUCAUCCGGGGUUCUCCCCGGUGCACUUGGCUACGUUCAGGCCAGCAUCGGUUUCGGUGGUUGGAUAAAGGCCUAGGGAAUGUGGCUCUCUUCGGGGAGUGUUAUAGCCCUAGGUGCAAUACAGCCCACUGGGACCGAGGACCGCGCUUCGGCUAGGAUGCUGGCGUAAUGGUUGUAAGCGACCCGUCUUGAAACACGGACCAAGGAGUCUAACAUCUAUGCGAGUGUUUGGGUGUCAAACCCAUACGCGUAAUGAAAGUGAACGGAGGUGAGAACCCUUAAGGGUGCAUCAUCGACCGAUCCUGAUGUCUUUGGAUGGAUUUGAGUAAGAGCAUAGCUGUUGGGACCCGAAAGAUGGUGAACUAUGCGUGAAUAGGGUGAAGCCAGAGGAAACUCUGGUGGAGGCUCGCAGCGGUUCUGACGUGCAAAUCGAUCGUCAAAUUUGCGCAUAGGGGCGAAAGACUAAUCGAACCAUCAGUUGCGCUAGGUGGUUAAGAGGUAGCCUAAACAGCAUACCUAGUCCUGGUCUUAAGGACUACACUAUCAAAUUGUUCGGGGACGUCCUGUUUUAAAUUCUAAACUACCGCAGCCUUCUUGAAAGAGAGGUGCGCACCAGG